GACGAACCGUGCGAACGUUAUUCGGAAUCACUGGGCUUAAAGCGCGUGUAGGUGGGGCGGCACGUCGGCCGCUGAAAUCCCCCGGCUUAACCGGGGAACGGGCGCCGAUACGACCGCCCUUGAGGGGCGUAGGGGGGGCUGGAACUUCCGGUGGAGCGGUGAAAUGCGUUGAGAUCGGAAGGAACGCCCGUGGCGAAAGCGAGCCCCUGGACGUCAUCUGACACUGAGACGCGAAAGCCAGGGGAGCGAACGGG
rnacentral:rRNA from 1 species